rnacentral:rRNA from 1 species
CUGGUUGAUCCUGCCAGUAGUCAUAUGUYYGUCUCAAAGAUUAAGCCAUGCAUGUCUAAGUAUAAGCAAUUUACACAGUGAAACUGCGAAUGGCUCAUUAAAUCAGUUAUCGUUUAUUUGAUAGUACCUUACUACUUGGAUAACCGUGGUAAUUCUAGAGCUAAUACAUGCUUAAAAUCCCGACUGUUUGGAAGGGAUGUAUUUAUUAGAUAAAAAAUCAAUGUCUUCGGACUCUUUGAUGAUUCAUAAUAACUUUUCGAAUCGCAUGGCCUUGUGCUGGCGAUGGUUCAUUCAAAUUUCUGCCCUAUCAACUUUCGAUGGUAGGAUAGUGGCCUACCAUGGUUUCAACGGGUAACGGGGAAUAAGGGUUCGAUUCCGGAGAGGGAGCCUGAGAAACGGCUACCACAUCCAAGGAAGGCAGCAGGCGCGCAAAUUACCCAAUCCCGACACGGGGAGGUAGUGACAAUAAAUAACGAUACAGGGCCCUUUCGGGUCUUGUAAUUGGAAUGAGUACAAUGUAAAUACCUUAACGAGGAACAAUUGGAGGGCAAGUCUGGU